AGGAUAUUGGAAAGGAAACCUUCCACAGGUGAUACGGAUCAUACCUUAUAGUGCGGUGCAGUUAUUUGCUUAUGAAACGUACAAGAAACUUUUUCAAGGAAAGGAUGGGGAGCUUUCUGUCAUUGGAAGACUAGCAGCAGGUGCUUGUGCUGGCAUGACUUCUACUUUUGUAACCUACCCACUCGAUGUUCUCAGGUUGAGAUUAGCAGUAGACCCUGGAUAUAAAACGAUGAGUGAGGUUGCUUUAAACAUGCUGAAAGAGGAAGGCUUUGCAUCCUUUUAUAAUGGUCUCG
rnacentral:misc_RNA from 1 species